GACGAACGCUGGCGGCGUGCUUAACACAUGCAAGUCGAACGGUAAGGCCCUUCGGGGUACACGAGUGGCGAACGGGUGAGUAACACGUGGGUGAUCUGCCCUGCACUUCGGGAUAAGCCUGGGAAACUGGGUCUAAUACCGGGUAGGACCACUGCCUGCAUGGGUGGUGGUGGAAAGCUUUUGCGGUGUGGGAUGGGCCCGCGGCCUAUCAGCUUGUUGGUGGGGUGAUGGCCUACCAAGGCGACGACGGGUAGCCGGCCUGAGAGGGUGACCGGCCACACUGGGACUGAGAUACGGCCCAGACUCCUACGGGAGGCAGCAGUGGGGAAUAUUGCACAAUGGGCGCAAGCCUGAUGCAGCGACGCCGCGUGAGGGAUGACGGCCUUCGGGUUGUAAACCUCUUUCAGCACCGACGAAGCGCAAGUGACGGUAGGUGCAGAAGAAGGACCGGCUAACUACGUGCCAGCCGCCGCAGUAA
rnacentral:rRNA from 1 species